rnacentral:lncRNA from 1 species
CCUCCAUUUGCUACUUGUUUUCCAUCUUUCAAUGACAAUAAUUCACUUCAUCAGUGAAUCCCAAUUCAGAAAAGCGCAUGAAAGUCGUCUCCUGUGUCAGAACUCUUCCUUCCUUUGAAGCUCAAGAAAUUAUUUUAAUUGUGGGUUUUUUUUUAGCAAGUAAGGCUAAUCUCUGCAUCAGUCAUUCCAGAAAUAUGAAGAUGUAUUGUUUGCAAGGAAAAAGAAGAGAAAUUCCACACUGCCUAGAUUCAUGA